GGACUACCGGGGUAUCUAAUCCUGUUUGAUCCCCACGCUGUCGCGCCUGAGCGUCAGAAACGGGCCAGUGAGCCGCCUUCGCCACCGGUGUUCUUCCCAAUAUCUACGAAUUUCACCUCUACACUGGGAAUUCCACUCACCUCUCCCGUACUCAAGCUCCACAGUUUCAAAGGCAAUUCCAAGGUUGAGCCUUGGGCUUUCACCCCUGACUUGAGGAGCCGCCUGCGCGCGCUUUACGCCCAGUAAUUCCGAACAACGCUAGCCCCCUUCGUAUUACCGCGGCGGCUGGCAC
rnacentral:rRNA from 1 species